rnacentral:rRNA from 1 species
UACGUAGGGGGCAAGCGUUGUCCGGAUUUAUUGGGCGUAAAGAGCGUGUAGGCGGCCAGGUAGGUGGGUUGUGAAAACUGGAGGCUCAACCUUCAGACGUCGACCCAAACCCCCUGGCUAGAGUUCGGUAGGGGAGACUGGAAUUCCUGGUGUAGCGGGUGAAAUGCGCAGAUAUCAGGAGGAACACCGAUGGCGAAGGCAGGUCUCUGGGCCGAUACUGACGCUGAGGAGCGAAAGCGUGGGGAGCGAACAGG